AAAUUUACAAUGCAUUUUCUUGUAAGUUACAGUGUAAUUUAUGAAACUUACAUUGUAACUUUUGUAAGUUACAGAGUAAUUUUUGAAUCUUCGCAUGUAAGUUUUAAAAUUUAUAUUGGAUUUGGUUUUUUUCUUGAAGAUAUGAU
rnacentral:snRNA from 1 species